rnacentral:rRNA from 1 species
AACGAACGCUGGCGGCAGGCCUAACACAUGCAAGUCGAGCGAACCCUUCGGGGUUAGCGGCGGACGGGUUAGUAACGCGUGGGAAUAUGCCCAAAGGUACGGAAUAGCCUCGGGAAACUGAGAGUAAUACCGUAUGUGCCCUUCGGGGGAAAGAUUUAUCGCCUUUGGAUUAGCCCGCGUUGGAUUAGGUAGUUGGUGGGGUAAUGGCCUACCAAGCCGACGAUCCAUAGCUGGUUUGAGAGGAUGAUCAGCAACACUGGGACUGAGACACGGCCCAGACUCCUACGGGAGGCAGCAGUGGGGAAUCUUAGACAAUGGGGGAAACCCUGAUCUAGCCAUGCCGCGUGGACGAUGAAGGCCUUAGGGUUGUAAAGUCCUUUCAGCUGGGAAGA